CUCGUAGGCGGCCAACUAAGUCGGACGUGAAAUCCCCAGGCUCAACCUGGGAACUGCGUCCGAUACUGGAUGGCUUGAAUUCGGGAGAGGGAUGCAGAAUUCCAGGUGUAGCGGCGAAAUGCGUAGAUAUCUGGAGGAAUACCGGUGGCGAAGGCGGCAUCCUGGACCGACAUUGACGCUGAUGAGCGAAAGCCAGGGGAGCAAACG
rnacentral:rRNA from 1 species